CCUUUAAUCAAAACAGAAGAUUGACCACACCGCUGAAUGUAACUUGCGUGGGAUCAUCAGUCUUUUUCAGCAUAGUCAACAGGGUGGAGUCAUCAGAGUAUUUGAACAGAGACUGGUUGGGUACCGAGGAGGCGCAGUCUGACGUGUGGAGUGUGAACAAUACAGGGUCACACUCACAGCCUUUGUGGUGAAGCUCAGAGAAAAUGAAC